rnacentral:tRNA from 2 species
CGGGGCGUGGGAAAGCCUGGUUAAUCCGUCUGCUUUGGGAGCAGAAGACCCUCAGUUCGAAUCUGAGCGCCCCGACCA